GUGGGCGUAGUUUAACCAAAACACUAGAUUGUGAUUCUAGGGACAGAAGUUAAAAUCUUCUCGCCCGCC
rnacentral:tRNA from 1 species